rnacentral:rRNA from 1 species
UACGUAGGCAGCGAGCGUUGUUCGGAGUUACUGGGCGUAAAGGGUGUGUAGGCGGUUGUUUAAGUUUGGUGUGAAAUCUCCCGGCUCAACUGGGAGGUGCGCCGAAUACUGAAUGACUUGGAGUGCGGGAGAGGAGAGUGGAAUUCCUGGUGUAGCGGUGAAAUGCGUAGAUAUCAGGAGGAAUACCGGUGGCGAAGGCGGCAUCCUGGACCGACAUUGACGCUGAACGGCGAAAGCUAGGGGAGCAAACGGG